rnacentral:rRNA from 1 species
GAACGCUAGCGGCAGGCUUAACACAUGCAAGUCGAGGGGUAGAAGUCUUCGGAUUUUGAGACCGGCGCACGGGUGCGUAACGCGUAUGCAAUCUGCCUUUUACAGAGGGAUAGCCCAGAGAAAUUUGGAUUAAUACCUCAUAGUAUUAUGAAAUGGCAUCAUUUUAUAAUUAAAGUCACAACGGUAAAAGAUGGGCAUGCGUCCCACUAGCUAGUUGGUAAGGUAACGGCUUACCAAGGCUACGAUGGGUAGGGGUCCUGAGAGGGAGAUCCCCCACACUGGUACUGAGACACGGACCAGACUCCUACGGGAGGCAGCAGUGAGGAAUAUUGGACAAUGGGCGCAAGCCUGAUCCAGCCAUGCCGCGUGCAGGAUGACGGUCCUAUGGAUUGUAAACUGCUUUUAUACGAGAAGAAACACUGAUUCGUGAAUCAGCUUGACGGUAUCGUAAGAAUAAGGAUCGGCUAACUCCGUGCCAGCAGCCGCGGUAAUACGGAGGAUCCAAGCGUUAUCCGGAAUCAUUGGGUUUAAAGGGUCCGUAGGCGGUUUAGUAAGUCAGUGGUGAAAGCCCAUCGCUCACGGUGGAACGGCCAUUGAUACUGCUGAACUUGAAUUAUUAGGAAGUAACUAGAAUAUGUAGUGUAGCGGUGAAAUGCUUAGAGAUUACAUGGAAUACCAAUUGCGAAGGCAGGUUACUACUAAUGGAUUGACGCUGAUGGACGAAAG